CAGAUUAUGUUUUAGAACUAAUGUUAUUUACAUUAACAUAUAUACUUGUGCAAUUCAAGUUAAUUUGA
rnacentral:tRNA from 1 species